UUAAUACCGGAUAGAUCAAAGGUACUGGAAUGUUCUUUGUUUGAAAGCUCCGGCGCCCAAGGAUGGGUCUGCGGCCUAUCAGGUAGUAGUGGGUGUAACGUACCUACUAGCCUACGACGGGUAAGGGUUGUGAGAGCAAGAGCCCUGAGAUGGAUUCUGAGACAUGAAUCCAGGCCCUACGGGGUGCAGCAGGCGCGAAAACUUUACACUGCGGGAAACCGCGAUAAGGGGACCCCGAGUGCCAGCACCUAGUGCUGGCUGUCCAGCUGUUCAAAAAACAGUUGUUAGCAAGGGCCGGGCAAGACCGGUGCCAGCCGCCGCGGUAACACCGGCGGCCCGAGUGGUAGCCGUUAUUAUUGGGUUUAAAGGGUCCGUAGCCGGCCUAUUAAGUCUCUUGGGAAAUCUGGCGACUCAAUCGUCAGGCGUUCA
rnacentral:rRNA from 1 species